rnacentral:pre_miRNA from 1 species
CUGCUGGCAUGAUGCCAGCUGCAGUGGGGGAGGCACGGCCAGGACUGUGUGCUCCAUGGAGCCACUAGGAGGCAAGAAC